rfam:Felis catus isolate Cinnamon breed Abyssinian chromosome C1, whole genome shotgun sequence.
GCCUGGGUGGCUCAGUUGGUUAAGCGUCUGACUUCAGCUCAGAUCAUGAUCUCACGGCUCAUGAAUUCGAGCCCCAUGUCAGGCU